ACUCAGAGUUUCCCAUCUCAGGGUAAAUCGACUCAGAGUUCAGGGUUAGACUCAGAGUUUGUUGAACCUCCUACCUGGAAUACCCCUCUGAUGUUGUUGCAGACUCCAGCUACAGCCCAGCCCUGCAGGAGGAGGAGGAGGAAAAAGAGGAAGAGGAGGACUUCAGCUGAAAGUGAAACUCAGCCUUCGAUUUCAGGUACAGCAGACAGAGGAGAGGAGCAGCUGUGACUUUUAAAGCAGCAGGACUUGUUGUCUUCCUUCUCUCGGUGUCAGAUGCUCUAAACCCUCCCUCUGUGUCAGUGAGUCCCUCUGGUGAGAUAGUGCAGGG